AAGUUUAGCAAUAAUCAUAAAAUAUAUUUUAAAUAUGUUUUUUUUUCAUCACCGUUUGUUCGUCAGAUGAUUGUAUUUGUGAGUUGGCUACUUGAAGUGGCACGGCUCUUGAUAAAGAUUUACUAUUUCCAAUAUUUCCUCUUCCCUGAUUAUCUACGACUUUUUGUAAAGCUAUCAUUAAUUGAUCAAAUAAUAAAGCUGCACGUUUUGGUACAACCUGUUAACAAAUAUGAGUUAAAAAAGAGCAUUAAAGUAAAGAAUUUAAUAUGAUUUAUGAUUGUCAAAUAAGUAUAAUCAUUUUGAUUUAUUAAGGGUAAACAAGUAUUACAAAUUAGGACAAGAAAUAUUCAAAUUUAUUUUUAGUCACAAAUAUAUACACAUGUUAUACUUCUAUAAAUAUAUUCAAUAUUUUGACUUGCGUAGUGUCACGAAGCCCUCGUAGUAUACAUGCAGAAAGCGUGUACGCACAAGCGAUUUUUAUUGAAUUUUUUAUACAGUAUAUCGUCACACGAAUAAUCGAUAAUUUUGAUAUGUCGUUGCCAUUGUUAUGGAUUUCCAAAAUAUAUCGAUAACGAGUAAAAGGUUAGAAAUAAUAAUUUUUAAUUGCUUCGUAAUUGGCCGCGAUUAAUUAAUUGAGAUAACAGUGAUUGCAUUUUGAAAAGUCAAUCAGAUCGAUCAGUUCCAAUGAAGGAUAGUGCCGUUUAAUUAAAGAAAUUCAUUAUUCAUAUAUAUUUCGUGCAACAUUUCCACCUGUCACAUUCCGAUAUCAUCUUUUGUUCAAAUAUUAUCAGUAAUUAUUAAUUAUUUGAUAAUAUGUAUUAGAAGAGUAUCAAGAUAAAAAAAUUGUUAUAUAUGAAGUAGAACACAUUGAUUGGUCAAUGAAGCGACAAUGAGUCGGUUAAUUAGAUUAGUGAUAUUAUUGCUCGAAGCGAUUUCUAAACUUGUUGGUCCUUAUCUGAAUCCAAUUAUCAUGCUUCGUUUAUCUAUGCGCGAUCUAAAUUUAUCCAUACACAGAUAAAGUAGAUUCUUUCUUUUUCUUGUUAUAAAAAGAUUUAAGUUUCCACGUGUCUAUCUAUUUUUAUAAUUAUUUAUAAAGACUCGAUGCCGAAUCGGUUCCCUUGUGUAAAUUUGUAUUUGAUUCACGUAGUAUUUCAAAAGUAAAAUGGCGACAGUGUUGUUGAAUUCAAGACGAUUAUAUAUAAAAUAUUCUUUGAAUGGAUAGGUGGAUGUUAUUACAAUUCACAAUUGUACACUUUCACGAAUGGAAACUGAAACUACAAACAGAUAUUUCUGGGUUGGCAAAUAUGUGUUGAAUGUAAACAUCAAAUCAAGAAAUGAAAGAAAAAGAAGAGAAAAGAGAGAUGACGAUUUCUUGCAAUCUUGCAACCUUUAUUCCUGUUUUUAUUUAUCCGAUCGAUUUCCCAAAGGUACGUGUCAAAUGAUAAACUUUUAUUGUCUUUUUUAACAUCUUCAUGGAAUAAGGUUAGAUUUGUAAAACGCAAAGGACGAAGGAAAAAGAAGAAAUUUAAAUGUUUUUUAAUUGAAUUUGAAUCGAUUGUAUUUAAAAAUACCGCGUGAUGUUCGGGUUAAAUUUUUAAAGUUCAUCAAUCGUUUUUUUUCGUCUUUGCUCGGAUACGCUCGGCUUUUCGCAUCUCUUUUCGCGGGAAAUAUUCGGAAAUAUGAAAGUUCACGUUAUAUGUUAAUAAUAAAGCGUACGAUUUGAAAGGAGAAUGAUAACAAAUUUAACGAGAUGAAAAAUAAAUAGAAGAAAAUAAUAUAUAAAUGAAGAAUAUCAAUAUUUCAUUUAAUAUAGAGAGUUGAUAUUAUUUAAUGUAUAUAUAGAGAGAAUAUCAUGCAUGUAAUUUAUGUUCAUCAUCAUCAUCAUCAUCAUCAUCAUCAUCAUCAUUUAUGUUAGCUGUACAAUAAUAUUCGAUUGUAUCGAAUUGAUUGUAUAAAUAUUAAAGCUAUAUGUUGUAAAGCAUAUUCUUGUAAAAUUAAGUUUCGAGUAGGUGAAGAUAAUUCAAUCACAGAAAGAAUUGGAAAACCGACAUAUUUUAUUUUAUGUUUUUUUAAUUUCCGUAUAAACUAAACGUAAAUACGUACUCACAUAAAUACGUUAUUACUUGCUAGGUAAAUGAAAUUUCGUAGACAUAUUAUUGAACUAUCAUGAAUAUGUCGUGUCUGUACAUUUUUGUCAAAAGUUUGUAAUUACGAUUUAUUUUAAUUUUCAUUUCCAUUCUUAAUAGUAUUCUUCAAAAUGGAAAUUUUUGCUUCAAAGGAAUGUCGUUGAAUAAAAGAAAAAUGUAUUAAAAUAAAAAAAAUAAAAAUAUACAAAUUGUUUUUUCAACGUUAUCAUUGCAAAUUGUUACUGGUUUUUGAAUGGGAAUGUAUUAUGAAAAGUUUUAACGAGAGAGAAAGAGAGAAAA
rnacentral:lncRNA from 1 species